rnacentral:rRNA from 1 species
GAUGAACGCUAGCGGCAAGCCUAACACAUGCAAGUCGAACGGUAACUUUUGGUGCUUGCACCGAAAGACGAGUGGCGAACGGGUGCGUAACGCGUAUGCAAUCUGCCUUUUACUAGGGUAUAGCCCAGAGAAAUUUGGAUUAAUCCCCUAUAAUAUCAUUUAAUCGCAUGAUUUUAUGAUUAAAGCUUCGGCGGUAAAAGAUGAGCAUGCGUCCUAUUAGUUAGUAGGUGAGGUAACGGCUCACCUAGACUCCGAUAGGUAGGGGUCCUGAGAGGGAGAUCCCCCACACUGGUACUGAGACACGGACCAGACUCCUACGGGAGGCAGCAGUGAGGAAUAUUGGACAAUGGACGAAAGUCUGAUCCAGCUAUGCCGCGUGCAGGAUGACGGCCCUAUGGGUUGUAAACUGCUUUUAUACAGGAAGAAAAACUCCGACGUGUCGGAACUUGACGGUACUGUAAGAAUAAGGAUCGGCUAACUCCGUGCCAGCAGCCGCGGUAAUACGGAGGAUCCAAGCGUUAUCCGGAAUCAUUGGGUUUAAAGGGUCCGUAGGCGGUUUUUUAAGUCAGAGGUGAAAUCCUGCAGCUCAACUGUAGAAUUGCCUUUGAUACUGAAAGACUUGAGUUAUUGUGAAGUGGUUAGA